rnacentral:rRNA from 1 species
ACAGGCUUAACACAUGCAAGUCGAGGGGCAGCGGGGGUAGCAAUACCCGCCGGCGACCGGCGCACGGGUGAGUAACGCGUAUGCAACCUGCCCUUUACUCCGGGAUAGCCUUUCGAAAGAAAGAUUAAUACCGGAUAGUAUACGAAUAUCGCAUGAUAUUUUUAUUAAAGAAUUUCGGUUAUCGAUGGGGAUGCGUUCCAUUAGUUUGUUGGCGGGGUAACGGCCCACCAAGACUACGAUGGAUAGGGGUUCUGAGAGGAAGGUCCCCACAUUGGAACUGAGACACGGUCCAAACUCC